rnacentral:rRNA from 1 species
AUUGAACGCUGGCUGCAGGCCUAACACAUGCAAGUCGAACGAGUGGCGGACGGGUGAGUAAUGUAUGUGACACUGCCCGCCUGUGGGGGAUAACUACUGGACACGGUAGCUAAUACUGCAUACCCUCUGAUGUGCCCAGAUGGGAUUCGCUAGUAGGUGGGGUAACGGCUCACCUAGGCGACGAUCCCUAGCUGGUCUGUGAGGAUGACAAGCCACACUGGAACGGAGACAAGGUCCAGACCCAAAGGGGAGGCAGGGGAGGAGAAAAGUACACAAGGGACGGAAGGCUGAUGCAGCCCUGCCGCGUAGAUGAAGAGGGCAUGCGGGUAGGAAAGGACAUUCAGUGAGGAGGCUGUACUAGAAGAAGAAGCACCGGCUAACUCCGUGCCAGCAGCCGCGGUAAUUC